rnacentral:rRNA from 1 species
UUGACCUCGAAUCAUGUAGGAAUACCCGCUGAACUUUAGCCUAUCAAUAAGCGGAGGAAAAGAACCAACCGGGAUUACCUCAAGUACGGCGAGUUAAACCGCAAUUU